GAGCGAGGCGACUUCGGCGGCUCGGGCGCUUUCACCUCCCCGGAGCGGGAGCGGGAGUGGGGCGGGGUUGGGGCUGGGCCGUCCUGCCGCGGCUGGGGCAGCAGCCUUCCCCCGGGUCCGGCGCCGAGGCUGUCUCCUCAGGGGCGGGAAUGGAGCCUGGACCCCUGUCCAAAGCCGAGGCUCGGUCCGCGCUCCUGCGGCUAGGCUGAAGCUGCUCCCCCUCCCCGCCGCCUCCGGGCCGGAGCGGAGACUAACGUUCUGGCCGUGCACCCGCGCUGGGACCAGGCUGUGGUCCCGAGGCCGCAGCUCCGCUCUCGGCCGCCACCUCCCCCUGGGCCCCCUGCUCCCUCAGCCGCAGGCCACUCGGGGCGCUGGGGCUGGAAGGCUGCACCUCUUCCCUCUCCCCCGGGGCGGCCCCACUCCGUCCCCCUGUGCCGCCUGCAGCCGCGGCCCCCUCAGCAGCUGUCUCCUGGCGCCUCCUCGCCAUGCCCAGCAGAGCAGUUGGAGCAGAAGCCAGGCUGCGCGGAAGACUUUUCGGUGGGGCUUCUGCACUGAGGUGGAAACCCAGCAGAACCUGCCAUUUCUCCCCUCCCCGGCCCCGCAAGGCGGCCCGCCCGACCCCCGCAUCCCGGGUUUGGAGAAUCCUGCUGAGCGUGUGCAGUGGGAGGAUUCUCCAAAGCUUCCAGCUUGCCACCUGGAAGAAGGUCACUUUCCUUUGAGCAAAGGCGAUAAUGGGAGGUACCCUGCCGGCGUUCACUAAGAGGCGGGGGUGACAGGGGCUGUGGUUGCUCGGGGAGGGUUGUGGCACUCGGGGCUGGGUGGCUGUCCCUAAGCUUGCUCUGACAAAAGAGUUUUGAGUUGGUCUUUUGGCUGAGCCUGCCCAGGAAGGCGGGCCCCUGCAGGAGUCUUGGAGGGUCGGAUGCGGCGCCGGAUGAGGAUGAGGCGUGGCGGAAGAUGCGUUUGGCUCUGCAGACACUGCAUCGGGCAGCAGGGGACUCUGGGAGGCUGGUGCAGCCAGAAGGCAUGGCUCUUGACAGCCUUCUAGUAGAAUCUCUGGAAUUGUGCAUAUGGGGAUUGGUCGCUGAGCUACACAAGGCAGCCCAAGAAUUGUGGCCACUGCCAGUCAUGUCAGAGAAGGAAGGGCCAUCUUCUCUUUAACCUAUUGUCUCACACCCCAGUUUGGCCAAACUUCUCAGCCUGGGUGGGCUCUGAGGCCCCUGAAGCGGGCUUGUGGUUCUGGAGCCUGCAGAUGAUCCACUGAUCCCUGGGUCCUGCUCUGUCUCAGAAGUGGGGCACUGGAAUCUGGACCCCAAAGCAGCUGAACGGCCUCCUGCUGCACCAGGAAUUUCCUUUCCUGCUGGGGAUUCUUCAGAUUCUUCCUUCAUCUGUGUGCCUUGGGGACCUCCUCUCCUUCCUGCCUCCUGCCCCCUGCCACUUUAUCAGGUCAGCAGAGCAAUAGGGCACUGCAGAUUCAAAAUAGAAACUGACAUCCCUUUGCAGGUGAGGACGACACCUUGGUCCAUCGUUUUGCCUAAUCACUGGGCAUUCCCUCUGGAUGUUCUGGAGCCCCACAGGCUCCUGUAAGAGGGUCAGUGGCUUUGGCCUCCUGUUCCUUGCCACUCAGUGUGUGGGAAGAUCUUAGACCUUCCUCUGGAAGCAUGGCCAGGUCUGGCUGAAACUUUAUAACCCAGAGCAAUCACCUCUCAACCUUGACAUCCUGGCCACAGCCCCAAGCUCUUCAUGGUGACCCCCCCUUCAAUACUGACCAGGACUUGUCCCCUCCCCACCCAGUUCCAUCCCCCUCUGCUGUCCUCCCCUUCAGCCUCUCCACGGUGCCUUCUGGAUCUCCUAGUCCAAGGGGAACAAAUUUCUUGCAUUCUCAGCCUCUUCAAUGCAUUUUCUAUCCACUCCACUCUGAACCACAACGUGGGUCUCCUCUGACAACCCUUCUUCCCUGUGUCUUCUCAAAUGAAGUUUGCACAUUCCCCUCACUCCUUUGACUCUCAGGCCUAGAGUAGGAUUUGCAAUCUCCCUGAUAGCCAGUGCUCCUCCGCCUUGUGGUAAAAGCCCCUCUUCUUUUAGGACUCAUGGCACUGGCUCCCCAUCUUCCCACAGUCCCCACUGUGGCCUCUGCCUCCAUCUAAGAGGCAGUGGCGCACCACCAUCUUGGAUUCCUGUUCCCUGGUUUUCUCUCCUCAUCAGCCUCUAGGUUUUGCAUUCAUGCAUUCUUACCCACAUCCAUGUUCCCAGCACCAGGAGGGGCCCAGGCCACCAGGAGACAUGAACAUAUUUCAUGGAUAAAUGAAUGACCACAGGGAGAAGAUGGUGAGAGGGAUAGACAUGAGUUCCUCCUGCCAUCUUAUUGCUCCAGCCAGAGCUCCCCCCGAAGCAAAGGUAGGGGAGUUACCCAGAGAAUACAUGAUAGUGUUUCAUUUGACACUGCACCUGGUUCCUCAGCCCCAUGCUGGUAAUAUUUUUAGGUGUAAAAUUUUCCUCAGCCUCAUGCUGGUAAUAUUCUUAGGUGUAAUAUUCUAAGGUGUAAAAUUUGCUGAUCUAGUGUUCCAGAAUCAGGCCUCUGAUAGGAGGUUGGAGAAAUGACAGAAAAAUGUAGCUUUUCCCAGUACAGGCCAGUUCCAAUGUCUCUCCCCUUUCCUGGUUUAAAAGGAGACUCCAAACAUGCUGUAUAUAUGGUAGCCACUAGUCACUUGAUGGCUAUUCAGUACUUGAAAUAUGACUAAUGUGACUGAGGAGCCAAAUUAUUUUUAUUUAAUUUUAAUUUUUAAUUUAAAAGCAGAUACUUGAUUAAGUAACAGAGAAGUUUUAGGUAUACCUGGAACAACUCAGGAUGUGAAUCUACUUUUUUUUUUAUUUAUUUUUUUGGAGCAGAGUCUUCCUCUGUGGCCCAGGCUGGAGUGCAAUGGUACAAUCUUGGCUCACUGCAACCUCUGCCUCCUCAG